rnacentral:sRNA from 1 species
GUGCUUUAGAAAUAGAUCACAUUCUAGCUAUGCACAAUGGCUCACGCCUGUAAUCCCAACAAUUUGGGAGGCUAAAACCAGGAGUUUGAGACCAGCCUGAGCAACAUACUGAGACCCCAUCUUUCCAAAAAGUAUUUAAAAAUUAUCUAGGCAUGGUGGCACAUGCCUGUGGUCCCAGCCACCUGCGAGGCUGAGGUGAGAGGAUUGCUUGAGCCUAGUAGUUCAAGGCUGCAGUGAGCUAUGAUCAUGCCACUGCACUCCAGCCUGGGAGCUGCUGCAGGCUUAGUGCCUGGUGGGCCAGGCUUUGGCCCGGGAGUAGUUGGUGUCCCAGGAGCUGGCGUUCCAGGUGUUGGUGUCCCAGGAGCUGGGAUUCCAGUUGUCCCAGGUGCUGGGAUCCCAGGUGCUGCGGUUCCAGGGGUUGUGUCACCAGAAGCAGCUGCUAAGGCAGCUGCGAAGGCAGCCAAAUACGGGGCCAGGCCCGGAGUCGGAGUUGGAGGCAUUCCUACUUACGGGGUUGGAGCUGGGGGCUUUCCCGGCUUUGGUGUCGGAGUCGGAGGUAUCCCU